GACGAACGCUGGCGGCGUGCUUAAUACAUGCAAGUGGAGCGACGAACCAGGCUUCGGCCUGGGGCAGAGCCGCGAACGGGUGAGUAACACGUGGGUAACCUGCCUCGAUGACCGGGACAACCCGGGGAACCCGGGCUAAUACCGGAUGUGCUGUCCCCACAUCAGUGGAGACAGGAAAGGAAGCUUCGGCCUCCGCAUCGAGAUGGGCCCGCGGCCCAUUAGCUUGUUGGUGUGGUAACGGCUCACCAAGGCUGCGAUGGGUAGCUGGUCUGAGAGGACGAUCAGCCACACUGGGACUGAGACACGGCCCAGACUCCUACGGGAGGCAGCAGUAGGGAAUCUUGCGCAAUGCGCGAAAGCGUGACGCAGC
rnacentral:rRNA from 1 species